rnacentral:rRNA from 1 species
GUGUCAGCCGCCGCGGUAAUACGGAGGGGGCAAGCGUUAAUCGGAUUUACUGGGCGUAAAGGGUGUGUAGGCGGUCGCGUAAGUCUGGUGUGAAAUCUUCACCGCUCAACGGGAAGAGGUCAUUGGAAACUGCGCGACUUGAGUGUGGUAGAGGCGAGCGGAAUUCCUGGUGUAGCGGUGGAAUGUGUAGAUAUCAGGAAGAACACCGGUGGCGAAGGCGGCUCGCUGGGCCACUACUGACGCUGAAACACGAAAGCGUGGGGAGCAAACGGGAUUAGAUACCCCGGUAGUCCACGCCGUAAACGGUGCGCACUAGGUGUGGGAGGUAUCGACCCCUUCCGUGCCGCAGUUAACACAUUAAGUGCGCCGCCUGGGGAGUACGACCGCAAGGUUGAAACUUAAAUGAAUUGACGGGG